AUGAACGCUGGCGGUAUGCUUAACACAUGCAAGUCGAACGGAGUACUUCGGUACUUAGUGGCGGACGGGUGAGUAACGCGUGAGAAUCUGCCUUCAGGUUCGGGACAACCACUGGAAACGGUGGCUAAUACCGAAUGUGCAGUAAUGUGAAAUAUUUAUAGCCUGGAGAUGAGCUCGCGUCUGAUUAGCUAGUAGGUGUGGUAAGAGCGCACCUAGGCGACGAUCAGUAGCUGGUCUGAGAGGAUGAUCAGUCACACUGGAACUGAGACACGGUCCAGACUCCUACGGGAGGCAGCAGUGGGGAAUAUUGGACAAUGGGCGAAAGCCUGAUCCAGCCAUGCCGCGUGUGUGAAGAAGGUCUUCGGAU
rnacentral:rRNA from 1 species